rnacentral:lncRNA from 1 species
CGUUUUCUUUAUUGACGGUAGAAGUGAGAUUAUAAUAAUAUAAAUUAGGAAACACUACAUUUAAGUACUGUUUAUCAUUAUAAAAAAUCCGUUGGUCAAAUUUUAUUCUACACCUUGAUACUAUGCAUAAUGGUGAUGAGUUUUAGUUUUCUUUCGAGAUCUAUACAUGUGUAGUUCAAGGUGGUGUUGUUCAAAAAUUAAAAUUAGUAAACGUAUGAUUUAAAAUGAAUGGUCUGGAUGUCUUGACGUAUUUUGGGGAUGACACACCAUAAAUUCUUCCAGAUUAAAUAUAUAAAGCUUGGGGAAAUAAAACGUCCUUAAGUAACGUUUGACAUUCACUCUUUCAAAAAUCUUUAUGUCCCCAAAUCUGCAAUCACAUAAAAAAAACCCCCAAAUCCGUGCAGAGCAACAGAUCUCGGAAGAUAUUGACACUCUCGGAUCGACGAUCUCGAAGAUAUAAAAGAUAUAAAUAGAUCAAUUCAAAGAUAUAAAAAGAGGGUUUGAAUAAAAAAAAGAGUUCGGAAUAAAUGCAAUAACUAGAACAAAAUCGAAGAUCGACAAUCCGGACAGAUCAUAAUUUAAUCUGUAACAGAUCACACACACAUCCGGACGCAAAAGCAACUCCAGACGCGAAAUCCAACCGGACGAAAUCAGAACAAUAAACGCAAUAACUGAAGAAAUUGAAAUCGAAACAUAAUAAUCAAAACGCAAUAAACAAUCGCAAGAAACGAUUAGACCGAAAUCAAAUCAAAUCUCAGAAGACUCGCAAAUCGCACACACAGAAGACACUCGUUAUAAAUCGAUCAGAAGAAAGAAAGAAAAAGAAAAAUAUGAAUCAGAUCGUGCAAAUCAGAAGACAACACGCAAAUUCCAGUGAAUCUGAAUUAGAAAGACACGCAAAUUCCAGACAACACGCAAAUCAGAAGACACGCAAAUCUGAAUUAGAAAAAAAGAACAGAAUCUAAAAAAACAGACACGCAAAGUCUGAUCAAAUCGUGAAAAAAAAUCGUGAAAGAUCGCAAAGUCCGAUUAAAUCAAGAUCUGAAAUUAAAAUUUAUAAAUCUAAAAAAGAAAAAAAAACAGACCUCAGAUGAAUCGUCACAACUUCCAAUGAAGACACGAACGCAAAUCUGCAGCGAAGAGAAGAUCUGAAUUGUAAGUUUGGAAACUGGAUCACGCAAAUCGGGAAAAAAAAUCGCGCAAUCGCAAAUCUGCAACGGAAUCAGAAUUGAGUCGCAGACGCCAAUCGGAAAUCCCAGAUCGCACGGAAUCGCGGAGAAAGACGAUCAAUGAAGCUAGGAAUCUGAUAUUAUCUCAAGAAAGCUUAACAUUGAUUAUCA